rnacentral:tRNA from 1 species
GGAGACGUGGCUUAGUGGUAGAGCAUUUGCCUAUCACUCAUAAAGCUUGGGGUUCUAACCUCAAUGCUGCCA